UGCCCAGCAACUCCUAUCCCUAUCUCCACGCGGUACCGGUCGGAAACUAUGAGCAACCUUAGGAAAGAUCGGGUAACCAACCCCGGUGGGAACUUUGGUCGUAGGCUGACAGGGAAGA
rfam:Aedes albopictus isolate Foshan contig100287, whole genome shotgun sequence.